rnacentral:rRNA from 1 species
AGAGUUUGAUCAUGGCUCAGAACGUACGCUGGCGGCACGCCUAACACAUGCAAGUCGAACGCAGUAGCAAUACUGAGUGGCAGACGGGUGAGUAACAUGUGGGAAUCUGCCUUGUGGUUCAGGACAACAUUGGGAAACCGAUGCUAAUACUGGAUAAGCCCUUACGGGGAAAGUUUUAAUGCCAUAAGAUGAGCCCGCAUUUGAUUAGUUAGUUGGUGAGGUAAUGGCUCACCAAGACAAUGAUCAAUAGCUGAUCUGAGAGGAUGAUCAGCCACACUGGGACUGAGACACGGCCCAGACUCCUACGGGAGGCAGCAGUGGGGAAUCUUGCACAAUGGAGGAAACUCUGAUGCAGCGAUGCCGCGUGAGUGAAGAAGGCCUUUGGGUUGUAAAGCUCUUUUGUAGGGGAAGAUAAUGACUGUACCCUAAGAAUAAGGUCCGGCUAACUUCGUGCCAGCAGCCGCGGUAAUACGAAGGGACCUAGCGUAGUUCGGAAUUACUGGGCGUAAAGCGCGCGUAGGCCGUUGAGUUAGUUAAUUGUGAAAUCCCAAAGCUUAACUUUGGAACUGCAAUUAAAACUGCUCGACUAGAGUUUGAUAGAGGAAAGCGGAAUACAUAGUGUAGAGGUGAAAUUCGUAGAUAUUAUGUAGAACACCAGUUGCGAAGGCGGCUUUCUGGAUCAACACUGACGCUGAGGCGCGAAAGUAUGGGUAGCAAAGAGGAUUAGAUACCCUCGUAGUCCAUACCAUAAACGAUGAUUGCUAGAUGUUGGAAAUUUAUUUUCAGUAUCGCAGCUAACG